AUUGAUGUUUGCCACUAAGAUAACUUUUUAGCACCAGAACCCGGGUUUAAAUUGGUGCUUGAAAGCCCUGUUUGUUUCAGAUUCCAUCCCUCCCUGGGAAGCUGCUAGGAAACAGAAACUGCUGCUGCAAUUUCCCAGCUUCUGAAAUGGCAGCAAGUCCAUUUCCAUAUCUUUGAUGUUGCUCCCAUGAAGAUGUGAGUGCACUCAGAAGUGCUGGAUAACAGAGCCAGGUACUGAGAUUGUGCCUGACACCAGAGUGACUUUGCCUCUGUGGGUUGGCCUCAGUGAGGGCCAAGUGCAAGCACAGCCACAGGAACAGCACAGAGGCUGUCUCCCUGCAGAGAGGAACAGAAUGUGCCACAGUGAGUGAUGAAAGGAGGAAAGUGCCUCCUUCAGGACAGUGCCAUGACAGAGGGGAUCCAGGAGAAACUUAUCAAGAUUCAGAAUGGAAGGAUGAUGGCCACAGGGGACAGCAAGCUGCAUUCUGGAGAAUGUUCUUAAUGUCUUGGUCUGAAAAGACAGGUGUCUGCUAAGGAAGGCAGGAGCCUUCCUUGAAAUGGAAAACAUAAACCCCCUCCCUCCAAAUUAUUAUAAUUUUGAAAUUUAAGGGGCUCUCAGGCAAAGAUAUGGGAAUAGGAAUAACAGUUCUUUACUAGGAAAAUUAAAAAUACAAAUGCAAUAGUACAAAAAAAGAGAACAAACCACUGACAGAGUCAGAAUACAAUCUGACACCCUGUUGGUCAGGGUGUUGGUAGCAGUCUGAUUAAACGGUGGCUG
rnacentral:lncRNA from 1 species